AGAGUUUGAUCAUGGCUCAGAACGAACGCUGGCGGCAGGCCUAACACAUGCAAGUCGAGCGAACUCUUCGGAGUUAGCGGCGGACGGGUUAGUAACGCGUGGGAAUAUACCCAAAGGUACGGAACAACAGUUGGAAACGACUGCUAAUACCGUAUGUGCCCUACGGGGGAAAGAUUUAUCGCCUUUGGAUUAGCCCGCGUUGGAUUAGGUAGUUGGUGGGGUAACGGCCUACCAAGCCUACGAUCCAUAGCUGGUUUGAGAGGAUGAUCAGCAACACUGGGACUGAGACACGGCCCAGACUCCUACGGGAGGCAGCAGUGGGGAAUCUUGGACAAUGGGGGCAACCCUGAUCCAGCCAUGCCGCGUGAACGAUGAAGGCCCUAGGGUUGUAAAGUUACUUUCAGCUGGGAAGAUAAUGACGAUACCAGCAGA
rnacentral:rRNA from 1 species